CUGGCCUCAAAUCAGGUAGGGCUACCCGCUGAACUUAAGCAUAUCAAUAAGCGGAGGAAAAGAAACUAACUAGGAUUCCCUUAGUAACGGCGAGUGAACCGGGAUGAGCUCAAAUUUGAAAUCUGGCGUCUUUCAGGCGUCCGAGUUGUAAUCUAUAGAGGCGUUUUCCGCGCCGGACCGCGUCCAAGUCUCUUGGAAUAGAGUAUCAAAGAGGGUGACAAUCCCGUACUUGACGCGACAACCGGUGCUCUGUGAUACGUUCUCAAUGAGUCGAGUUGUUUGGGAAUGCAGCUCUAAAUGGGUGGUAAAUUCCAUCUAAGGCUAAAUAUUGGCGAGAGACCGAUAGCGAACAAGUACCGUGAGGGAAAGAUGAAAAGCACUUUGGAAAGAGAGUUAAACAGCACGUGAAAUUGUUAAAAGGGAAACGAUUGAAGUCAGUCGUGUGGGAAGUAUUCAGCCGUCUCUGGCGGUGUAUUUGCUUCUCACGGGUCAACAUCAGUUUGAUCCGGUAGAAAAAGGCGGGAAGAAGGUGGCACCCUCGGGUGUGUUAUAGCUUCCUGUCAUAUGUGCCGGACCAGACUGAGGAACGCAGCUUGCAGCAAUGCCGGGGUUCGCCCACGUACAAGCUAGGAUGUGACA
rnacentral:rRNA from 1 species